GAUGAACGCUGGCGGCGUGCCUAAUACAUGCAAGUCGAGCGAACGGACGAGAAGCUUGCUUCUCUGAUGUUAGCGGCGGACGGGUGAGUAACACGUGGAUAACCUACCUAUAAGACUGGGAUAACUUCGGGAAACCGUAGCUAAUACCGGAUAAUAUUUUGUACCGCAUGGUUCAAAAGUGAAAGACGGUCUUGCUGUCACUUAUAGAUGGAUCCGCGCUGCAUUAGCUAGUUGGUAAGGUAACGGCUUACCAAGGCAACGAUGCAUAGCCGACCUGAGAGGGUGAUCGGCCACACUGGAACUGAGACACGGUCCAGACUCCUACGGGAGGCAGCAGUAGGGAAUCUUCCGCAAUGGGCGAAAGCCUGACGGAGCAACGCCGCGUGAGUGAUGAAGGUCUUCGGAUCGUAAAACUCUGUUAUUAGGGAAGAACAUAUGUGUAAGUAACUGUGCACAUCUUGACGGUACCUAAUCAGAAAGCCACGGCUAACUACGUG
rnacentral:rRNA from 1 species